AACGAACGCUGGCGGCAGGCCUAACACAUGCAAGUCGAGCGCACCCUUCGGGGUGAGCGGCGGACGGGUGAGUAACGCGUGGGAACGUGCCCUUCUCUGCGGAAUAGCCUCGGGAAACUGAGAGUAAUACCGCAUACGCCCUUUGGGGGAAAGAUUUAUCGGAGAAGGAUCGGCCCGCGUUGUAUUAGGUAGUUGGUGGGGUAAUGGCCCACCAAGCCGACGAUCCAUAGCUGGUUUGAGAGGAUGAUCAGCCACACUGGGACUGAGACACGGCCCAGACUCCUACGGGAGGCAGCAGUGGGGAAUCUUAGACAAUGGGGGCAACCCUGAUCUAGCCAUGCCGCGUGAGUGAUGAAGGCCUUAGGGUUGUAAAGCUCUUUCAGCUGGGAAGAUAAUGACGGUACCAGCAGAAGAAGCCCCGGCUAACUCCGUG
rnacentral:rRNA from 1 species